AACGUAGGGUGCGAGCGUUGUCCGGAAUUACUGGGCGUAAAGAGCUCGUAGGUGGUUUGUCGCGUUGUUCGUGAAAACUCACAGCUUAACUGUGGGCGUGCGGGCGAUACGGGCAGACUGGAGUACUGCAGGGGAGACUGGAAUUCCUGGUGUAGCGGUGGAAUGCGCAGAUAUCAGGAGGAACACCGGUGGCGAAGGCGGGUCUCUGGGCAGUAACUGACGCUGAGGAGCGAAAGCGUGGGGAGCGAACAGG
rnacentral:rRNA from 1 species